GCGGGCGUAACUCAAUUGGUAGAGUGCAACUUUCCCAAAGUUGAAGUUGCGGGUUCGAGUCCCGUCGCCCGCU
rnacentral:tRNA from 1 species